rnacentral:tRNA from 1 species
GAGGGUAUACCUCAGUGGUAGAGUACAUGCUUAGCAUGCACAAGGUCCUGGGUUUAAUACCCAGUAACUCCA